rnacentral:rRNA from 1 species
GACGAACGCUGGCGGCGUGCCUAAUACAUGCAAGUCGAACGCAGUGGGGACGGGUGAGUAACAUGUGGGUAACCUCCCAUCAGAGGGGAUAACACUUGGAAACAGGUGCUAAACCGAUACUGAUGGAUGGACCCGCGGUGCAUUAGCUAGUUGGUGGGGUAACGGCUCACCAAGGCCACGAUGCAUAGCCGAUCUGAGAGGGUGAGCGGCCACACUGGGACGGAGACACGGCCCGGACUCCUACGGGAGGCAGCAGUAGGGAAUAUUCGGCAAUGGACGAAAGUCUGACCCAGCAAUGCCGCGUGAGUGAAGAAGGUUUUCGGAUCGUAAAACUCUGUAGUUAGAGAAGCGGUAUCUAACGAGAAAGCAACGGCUAACUACGUGCCAGCAGCCGCGGUAAUUC